rnacentral:rRNA from 1 species
UACGGGGGGAGCAAGCGUUGUUCGGAUUUACUGGGCGUAAAGGGCGCGUAGGCGGCCACCGCAAGUCGGUUGUGAAAUCUCCGGGCUUAACCCGGAAAGGUCAAUCGAUACUGCGGGGCUAGAGUGCAGAAGGGGCAACUGGAAUUCCUGGUGUAGCGGUGGAAUGCGCAGAUAUCAGGAGGAACACCGGUGGCGAAGGCGGGUCUCUGGGCAGUAACUGACGCUGAGGAGCGAAAGCGUGGGGAGCGAACAGG